rnacentral:rRNA from 1 species
UAAUUUGACUCAACGCGGGGAAUCUUACCGGGUCCGGACACACUGAGGAUUGACAGACAGUUGUCUUUCCCUCCCUUCGGGGUGGGAUUACAAAAGAUAACAGAUCUUUCAUGAUCAUGUGAUGGGUGGUGCAUGGCCGUUCUUAGUUCGUGGAGUGAUCUGUCUGCUUAAUUGCGUUUCAAAUUUUAUAUUUGUUAACAUGCGAGUCUUCAAUGACGGCCGCUCCACCUUAUAGACAUUAUAUGAUAUGCACAUUUGUGUAUUUGAUUAUAACUUGUCUGGAGUCUGGCUCGAUUUUUUUGACUCAAUUGAACGCAACGGACGUGAUUGCAAGUCCUUGUUGAACAAAUUAUAUAUAUACUACUUCAUCAUUAGUAUAUAUAGUUCGCUUCUCAUGUCGUAGCAGUCAAACGGGCGGGCGUCUUAAUUGGCGCGGUCACGAGGCUUAAUAUGCUGCGGCAGGGAAAACUUGGGCGACCGCUGUAAUACUUCUCUCUUAAACCAGAGGAAGAUUGCGGCAAUAACAGG